GAUCCUGAAAGCAAAGCCAACCUGAAACCUGCAUGGAAAGCAGAGCCAGAGGUGAGUUGCUAAGAACCCAUGAAAACAGACUGGAGAGUCUCAUAUAUAACUGCUGGACCUGAUCCAUAAUGAGGAGGGCUUACAGCACCAAGCUUGGGGCUCUCUGGUGUGCAGCACACAUUCCUUUAUUGGAUUACCAGCGAGGAAUGACCCCUUAUUUACAGAA